rnacentral:rRNA from 1 species
GACGAACGCUGGCGGCGUGCUUAACACAUGCAAGUCGAACGGAAAGGUCUGCUUUCCCUUGUGGAUUGCGGGUACUCGAGUGGCGAACGGGUGAGUAACACGUGAGUGAUCUGCCCCCAACUUGGGAAUAAGCCUGGGAAACUGGGUCUAAUUCCCGAUAGGACUGCAGGGUGGCGCCUGUGGUGGAAAACGUUUUUCUAGUGGUUGGGGAUGAGCUCGCGGCCUAUCAGCUGGUUGGUGGGGUAAUGGCCUACCAAGGCGGCGACGGGUAGCCGGCUGGGGGGGAUGGACCGCCACAUUGAGACUGAGAAACGGCCCAGACUCCUAGGGGAGGCAGAGGGGGGGAAUAUUGCACAAUGGGGGGAAGCUUAAUGAAGCGAGGAGGGGUGGGGAUUGACGGCCUUCGGGUUGUAAACUGCUUUCGAGCGGGGAGAAGCCAACUGGUUGGAAGGUUGUUGACGGUAGUGGAAGAAGAAGCACCGGCUAACUACGUG